rnacentral:rRNA from 1 species
UGGCGGACGGGUGAGUAAUGUCUGGGAAACUGCCUGAUGGAGGGGGAUAACUACUGGAAACGGUAGCUAAUACCGCAUAACGUCGCAAGACCAAGAGGGGACCUUCGGGCCCCUUGCCAUCGGAUGUGCCCAGAUGGGAUUAGCUAGUAGGUGGGGUAACGGCUCACCUAGGCGACGAUCCCUAGCUGGUCUGAGAGGAUGACCAGCCACACUGGAACUGAGACACGGUCCAG